rnacentral:rRNA from 1 species
ACUCCUACGGGAGGCAGCAGUGGGGAAUUUUGGACAAUGGGCGCAAGCCUGAUCCAGCCAUGCCGCGUGUGGGAAGAAGGCCUUCGGGUUGUAAACCACUUUUGUCAGGGAAGAAACGGUUCAAUCUAAUAAAUUGAACUAAUGACGGUACCUGAAGAAUAAGCACCGGCUAACUACGUGCCAGCAGCCGCGGUAAUACGUAGGGUGCAAGCGUUAAUCGGAAUUACUGGGCGUAAAGCGUGCGCAGGCGGCUUUGCAAGACAGAUGUGAAAUCCCCGGGCUCAACCUGGGAACUGCAUUUGUGACUGCAAGGCUAGAGUACGGUAGAGGGGGAUGGAAUUCCGCGUGUAGCAGUGAAAUGCGUAGAUAUGCGGAGGAACACCGAUGGCGAAGGCAAUCCCCUGGACCUGUACUGACGCUCAUGCACGAAAGCGUGGGGAGCAAGCAGGAUUAGAUACCCUGGUAGUCCGCGCCCUAAACGAUGUCAACUGGUUGUUGGAUGGCUUGCUGUUCAGUAACGAAGCUAACGCGUGAAGUUGACCGCCUGGGGAGCACGGCCGCAAGGUUGAAACUCAAAGGAAUUGACGGGGACCCGCACAGGC